GGUUUGUGGCUCAGUGGUUAGAAGCUUGCCUAGCACGUAUGAGGCACUGGGUUCGAUCCCCAGGACCA
rnacentral:tRNA from 1 species